UUAAGUGACAUAUUUUGUUCAUGAUGAAAUGAAUCAGUUCUAAGAGCAUAGUUAAUAGAAUUUAGAAGAAGUGGUUUAAUACUAUCUCAUAAUUCCAGGAAUAGCUCCAGAGGAAAACCAUCUAGUCUUGUAAACUCCAAAUACUCAAAUAUAUUUAGAGAAGUUUUUGUUUGCAGUAUUCUACUUUUAUUGCAUGAUCCACCAUUUAGGUUUUAGAGUAUUACAAUUUUUCAAAUUAUGAUGUUAAUAAUUUAAUUUUGUCCUGUACGUCAAAGCAGGGAAAGCUGAAACAUCACCUGUCAUGAUGAUCACCUUUCAAAUAACUCCAACUUUUCAGUAGUGCAUUGAUUUUGUCCUGUACGUCAAAGUCAUUAAUGGAGAGUCCCUGUAGUCCCAAAUUCAGUGUUUAAAUGUGAAAAAAAUCUCAGACAAGUAUGCCAGCUGACUGAGCCACACAGUAUCCUCGAAAAUGUCUGACAAGGGAUAAUUUGUGCCUGUAAAAACAAAUGGACCUCUUUGUGCAAAUUGAAAAGACUAGAAAGCACCUUUCCUCUUGAAAGCUACCAUACUUCAGUAUGAAGCAAGAGUUGGACAUGCUCACUUGCCCAUCUCCUCACAGAACACACAGAGCAUUCAUUGGUCUGGCCUUAAUGAAAUUGAUAAAGUUUUCACAGCUGAGUCCCGCACAGACUUUAGGUCAUCAGGCAUCUUCUUCACUGCCAGCGCUUCUCAGGGGCCUCCUCUCGGAUGCAAGCUGCUACUCCACUGUUACAGCCUACCAUAGCCCUCGUGCCGUAUGUAGGCACUCCCACACACUUUCUCCAGUCCAGCCUGUUCUCUUGGAUAAACAAAUCUAGUACAUGGAAUAUGUGCUCUGCUGUGGUUCUGGUCAAGUGACUGGCAGAACAUAAGUCCUCCUGAGCUGAACCAUCAUAUCAUAUCUCAUGUAAAGCAACAAAUUGGCUAAUAAGGGCAAUCAUUCUGGAAAAAAGGAUUGUCAUGGAUGAUGUCCCAAAUUUGCCACAUGCUGUAUGUCUACUCUUUGCUUUGAUCUACACUCUAAUUUUAGACUACCCGAAGACGAUGAGCAACACCCAAUAUAUUUUUCAGCAGGUAUUUCUGUCUUUGGGAGGAAAAGAAUCUCAAACCCAAACUCCAAACCCUUAAAAAUCAGCUUUUAAGCAAAACUUGUGUAUAUUAACUUUCUGGCUUGGAUGCCUAUGCUGCCAUGUUUAAAGUAUUUAAGAAGUUGGCAUUUUGGCAUAUUUAAUUGCACUUAUUUCAAGUGGCCAGUGGUACAAAUAAGUUGUUCGAGUCAUUACAUUAAGUAGUUUAAAACCUAUUCAAAACUUCAGGGUUGUAAUCAAACAGGUGAGAAUUUCAUUCCAAGUGCAUUCCAUACUAGCUGAAUUACUAAUAAUUAUGUUCAUUUUAUUUGAAGAAAAUGUGGAAACCGAUUGCAUGUUUUUUAGUCUCCAUGGUUUAAAAUAGCAUAUUAAAACCAUUUUGAAAAGAAGACUGUAAGAUAUUUGCAGAACACAAUAUAACAGUUAGUAAAAAAGGAUACUCCACCCCAAAAUUAACAUUUUGUCAUUAAUCUCUUUAAAAGCUUUGUUCGUCUUCAGAACACAAUUUAGGAUAUUUUGGAUGAAAACCGGGAGGCUUGUGACUGUCCCAUUGACUGCCAAGUCAAUUACACUGUCAAGCAGAGGUGGGAGUAAGUCAGACAUGUGCAAGUCACAAGUCCCAAGUCCAAGUCAAUUUUUGUGAGACGCAAGUCAAAUCACUGCUUUUGUAAAGCAAUUCAAAUCAAGUAAGUCACUGUCAAGUCAUAUAAAUUUAGUUUAAUCAUGAAACAUUUGUAUAUUAAAAUAAGUUAAAACUACAGUAGUUAUGGGC
ensembl:lncRNA